rnacentral:rRNA from 1 species
GUGAGGAAUAUUGGUCAAUGGGCGAGAGCCUGAACCAGCCAAGUCGCGUGAAGGAAGAAGGAUCUAUGGUUCGUAAACUUCUUUUGCAGGGGAAUAAAGUGCGGGACGUGUCCUGUUUUGUAUGUACCCUGAGAAUAAGGAUCGGCUAACUCCGUGCCAGCAGCCGCGGUAAUACGGAGGAUCCGAGCGUUAUCCGGAUUUAUUGGGUUUAAAGGGUGCGGAGGUGGUUUGAUAAGUCAGCGGUGAAAGUUUGCAGCUUAACUGUAAAAAUGCCGUUGAAACUGUCGGACUUGAGUGUAAAUGAGGUAGGCGGAAUGCGUGGUGUAGCGGUGAAAUGCAUAGAUAUCACGCAGAACUCCGAUUGCGAAGGCAGCUUACUAAGCUACAACUGACACUGAAGCACGAAAGCGUGGGGAUCAAACAGGAUUAGAUACCCCGGUAGUCC